rnacentral:rRNA from 1 species
AUACGUAGGGUGCAAGCGUUAAUCGGAAUUACUGGGCGUAAAGCGUGCGCAGGCGGUUUUGUAAGUCUGUCGUGAAAGCCCCGGGCUCAACCUGGGAAUUGCGAUGGAGACUGCAAGGCUUGAAUCUGGCAGAGGGGGGUAGAAUUCCACGUGUAGCAGUGAAAUGCGUAGAGAUGUGGAGGAACACCGAUGGCGAAGGCAGCCCCCUGGGUCAAGAUUGACGCUCAUGCACGAAAGCGUGGGGAGCAAACAGGAUUAGAUACCCUGGUAGUCCAUGCCCUAAACGAUGUCUACUAGUUGUCGGGUUUUAAUUAACUUGGUAACGCAGCUAACGCGUGAAGUAGACCGCCUGGGGAGUACGGUCGCAAGAUUAAA